CACCGGCGGCUCGAGUGGGGGCCACUUUUAUUGGGUCUAAAGCGUCCGUAGCCGGCUUGGCAAGUCCCCUGGGAAAUCUGGCGGCUUAACCGUCAGGCGUCCAGAGGAUACUGCCAGGCUUGGGACCGGGAGAGGUGAGAGGUACCUCAGGGGUAGGGGUGAAAUCUUGUGAUCCCUGAGGGACCACCAGUGGCGAAGGCGUCUCACUAGAACGGGUCCGACGGUCAGGGACGAAAGCUGGGGGCACGAACCGG
rnacentral:rRNA from 1 species